rfam:TPA: Bos taurus chromosome 17, whole genome shotgun sequence.
UCCCUGGUGGUCUAGUGGUUAGGACUCCUGUGCUUCCACUGCAGAGGGCCAGGGUUCAAUCCCUGGUCAGGGAA